UCGGGAAUUUUGGGCAAUGGGCGAAAGCCUGACCCAGCAACGCCGCGUGAAGGAUGAAGUAUUUCGGUAUGUAAACUUCGUAAGAAUAGGAAGAAUAAAUGACGGUACUAUUUGUAAGGUCCGGCUAACUACGUGCCAGCAGCCGCGGUAAUACGUAGGGACCAAGCGUUGUUCGGAUUUACUGGGCGUAAAGGGCGCGUAGGCGGUGUGUCAAGUCAGUUGUGAAAUCUCCGAGCUUAACUCGGAACGGUCAACUGAUACUGUCACACUAGAGUACAGAAGGGGCAAUCGGAAUUCUUGGUGUAGCGGUGAAAUGCGUAGAUAUCAAGAGGAACACCUGAGGCGAAGGCGGGUUGCUGGGCUGAUACUGACGCUGAGGCGCGAAAGCUAGGGUAGCAAACGGGAUUAGAUACCCCUGUAGUCCCUGAG
rnacentral:rRNA from 1 species